ACGCCCGGGCCCUCCCACUCUGCCUCCAACCCCAGAGCGUGGACGCAAGGGGAGGAGAGGUGAGGAAUCAGGGGUCCUACGCAGCUGCCGCCCCUGGCCCCCUCUCUUCACAAUUCCCGUUCGCACGAGUUGCGCGGUCUCCAGUCUUCCUCGGGCUGCGUGUGGAGGUGCGGACGGGGUGAAGGAGAGGAGCUGCCUUCACUCGGGAGGAAGAGAGAGGCGAGCGAGGAGGGAAGGCAGGCAGGGGCGCCCGGUGACCGCACAGGGCUCCGCACCCCGCUCCCCGCCACCCUCUCCGGCUCCGGCUGCGGGGUCGACCGCGGCGAAGGACGCAGCCCUGGGGUUGGGGUUCAGCAGCCACUCACCAAAGCACCAAGAGCCCAGCAGCAGCGUCGCCGCCAAGGGCCACAUCUCCGCGCCGGCCCUGUGGGUUCCGCAGCCAAGGGUGUCGAGCAGCCGCCGCCUCCGAUACCGUUGCGGGCGGAUCCGGCACGCGCGCUCCCCAGCCCCCUCGGGCUCUGGUGCCGAUCUGCGCCCUCCGCGGGCCUCCCGCCCAAGUCCCGCCGUCCUCGCUCUCCCACGGCUCCAUACGCCACAGCGGGCUGAGCCCUUAUCCCCAGCUCAUGGGGGUCCCCGCUGCCCUCCGCUCUGCGGCUUCUUCCGCCUCCACAGAGCCCGGGCCCCACAGUCCCCGCCGCGCCUUCGCUCUGCCGCGAUCCAGGCCCCGCCAGGCUUCGCUCCGCCGACCUCGGAGUCCCCGCUACGCGCCGCCCGGCCUCCCUCUGCUGGGCCAGGGCCCCGACCCUCCCUCGGCCCUCACCAGGGCCCUUCUCCCCCCAACCCCCAGACCCCCGCGGGGUUCCCACGCCCGAGCCCGAGGGCCGCGCGGAGCCGGGGCGCCGUGACCGCUCCCCGCCCUGACGCUGGCGGCCGCCUUCUUUGUUUCAGUGGGAGAAAGCCAUCUGCAGUUCAGUGCAUGUCCUCAGGACCCCAGAUGUUCCCUGAACCAUUGGGUAUUUGCUAUUAGCUCCAGAUCACACGUGCCAGUCAAGUGGUGGCAGCGCAGGAGACAAAGAUCCUGUGAAGUCCAAGUGAAGCCUCUUCUGUGGACAGCAAGGUCUCCAACAUCUCUAGACAAAGGACACACAUCCCUCCUCUGUUCUAGCAGGGAAGAAGUCAGCUUCCAAGUAGCUUGAGGACUCUUUAACUCUAUAUUUAGGGAGUUAGAAACAGCUUGAGAAACUAGUUUCACUGUAGUUGAAAAAAAUGCCUUUUUGUGUGUCCAUCAACAUGUCUGUAAUUCCAGCACUCUGGGAGUCUGAGGUAGAAGGGUGACAAGGCUGAAGCCCAGCCUGGACAAUUUAGUGUUUAGCAAGACCUUGUUUCAAAAUAAAAAUUUCAAUAAAGGGCUGAGAAUAUAGCUCAGCAUGAAGGCCAUGGAUUCAAUCCUUAGCAGGGGUGGGG
rnacentral:lncRNA from 1 species